GUAGAUAUAGUUUAAAGAAAAAAUAUUAGAUUGUGGUUCUAAAGAUAGAAGUUAAAACCCUCUUAUCCACC
rnacentral:tRNA from 1 species